UGUCCACACACCUGUUUCGGGUGUUUCUCCGUUUGGCCCGAGGAUCUACAACAGGUCAAAGAUGAAAGCACAGAUGUGUGAUUAAUAGCAGGCGAACUCGUGCACUGUACAUUUUUGUAAAGUACUUAUUUUCCAAGGAGAUAGUGUCAAUGAAGAACUUGAGAAAAUAUGAGACGUGAUUUGGGAAGAAGUGAAAUAUCAGUUUUCAGUCUUACCACAGGAGGGCAGGACAUCCUUGACUACUGGACAAACUGAGACACAGCCUGCAUGCAUAUUGAAAAAUUCUGCAGCUAACGCUGGAUCCGAUCUGCUGAGUCCUCGAAGUGGAAAAUCUCAAAGCCGGGCUUCCCUUUAUCAGCCCUUCCUUCUGAGGAAGAAAGAGAACUUCCUUCAAAACAGGUGCAGACUGUUGAUGGGGGGCUUGAGCUGGGGAAACAGACUCUGACACACUUCUGAUCUAAGGAGGAUGCCUGCCGUUUGAGUCACAGGUAACAUCAAUUACUAAUGGUACCUCACCCAGCAACCAUUAUCUUGGAGCAUUAUGAACAUUAAUACGCAGUCUUGAUCACCAUUUGCAUUUAUUCAAAUCAAAUGAAUUUCAUAUGGGGGCAUCGCACGAAAAGGGUGUCGUGGAUACGGUUUCAAUUGCUGAUAAACGCAGGGCACAGGUGUUAAUUAAAAUGUACUGUUUUAGUUGGCCAGAUAAGCGCCUGUUUGCCGCUUUCAUCUUCACACUGAGAAUACACAUGUGUUCAAAAGAGCUGAAUCUGUUUAAUAUUUCAUUUCGUAUGAUUUUUCUCUUUCAGGUCGUUGAAAAGUAAAUUGGUGCACCCUACACACAGACACACUUGCACUAAGACUUUGCUGCUGUUGCUAUGACUACAUGCGUUCUGCGGUAAAUGUGUUGUCUGACACUGUAAGGUCAAAGAGAAUACUCAUGUUUUCAUAUCUACUCACACACUUCUCUCUCUCUCACACACUUGCUCUUCUCAGACACGCUCAAGGUCGUGGGUUAUUUUGAUUAGGGCCUGUGUGACCUUGAGACUCAUAAAGAGCUGCCUACAGUACCGAUCCUUCUGGAUAUGUGGGCUGUGAACUGUCUACAGAUAACUAGCCAUCAUGCUCUGAAUUUUAGUUUUCAACCUUUGGAUCCCUUGGUGGACAAUAAUGUUAAUAUUAAUGUGUUUUCACACUUUAUAAUGCUAAGAUUUAGGGCUGGGAAUUGUAAAGUUUUUUCCAGGUCUGGUUCUGAUUACGUUCCAUUUAAACUGUUAAUUAACCUACCAAAACAAAUAUUAUGGAAAAAUAAUACUCAACUCGAAUUAUCCUGGUAAUAUCAACAAAUUCAACAUGUUAUUUAGGUUUUUUUGCGAAACAAUUUUUUUUCUCCUGAAUAAAAAUAAAUCUGUGAGGACGCAGGACCUCUUCUGGGUAAAUGUAUUUCCAGCAGG